CUCAUUCUUCAAUCCUCGCCACAAAUAACACAAUUACAUACCUUAAUAUGCAUGGCACUCACGAAUCACAUAGCAAAACCCAAGAUAAAAAAAGCAGCACAAACGAAUCCCAUAAACACAUUAACAUCAACCCCAACUGCACCCGAAACACGUUUGUUGCUCACCCCAUCGUCGCUACCAUCAUCAUCACCAUUGUCGUUGUCAACAGCAUCUCCCUCCGCGCUACUACUUGCUUCCGACGCCGCCACAGCUCCUGCCGCCUCCGCCCCCUUAGGAUCACCGACAAUUGACAUAGGAAGAAGCACGUUGUCAAC
rnacentral:lncRNA from 1 species